AUGUCUCCCUGUGCGUGGGCUCAGAAAUGCUUGUGAAAAUUAGCAGAACGUUACAAUAGUGCACAAGUCACAUGCAACAGUGCGACCCCUUAAUCCACCGCCUGACCCUCGGGGCUUUAAGCAUGUGGUGUUUCCGUUAGCAUGUGGCGCCUGGCACGAACGCUAAACUUGCUCACUAAACAGGCAGUAAACCUUUACAAUGGAAGUCACUGAGUCACAUACCUACGAAGUGAAGGUCUUAGGCCAUGAGGGGUCCUGCUGGGGGUGAUGCCCCGGACAAUGCAGUCAAACAGGAAACUGAUCUGCUCUCCUUCUGAACAGGACAAGAAGAAAACACCAGCCCCUGGAAGAUGGGAGGGGAAAGAGACCAAAGUAUAUGAUGGAUUGUUAGGGAAAAAAAGAUGAUGGAAUUGGGGAAAGUUACAGAAUCAUCAAAUUACAUAACAUGACGCAGAAGUGUUUGAAAUGUAGAGUAAGAGAGAAAAAAUGAGCAAGGCCAUCCAAUAUUCAGUGAGGCUCAAAAGGCUGUUGUAAAGGCAAGGCUGCUCUUUCUUCCAAAGGUUGCAUAAAACAUCUCUCAAUUCAGCCCCCACUGUCCUAUCAAGCCCACACAGAUGUGGGAGUCUGUGGAAACACAAAACAAGCAAAAAAAAUUAAAUAAAUAAAUCAUGCAACA